rnacentral:rRNA from 1 species
UGGGUGUCUGAUACCUUCUUGGAGAAAUAUGACGAAUCGGAGCCCAUCCUUGUAAAGGAUAGUGUCCGGUGCUUCCUCCGAUUAUUCGUGAACUGUGCAGGCAAGGGCAUGUCAUGGGAUCUUACCAUCACUGCACAAACCUUAACUUUCAUUGUCAGUUUCAAUGCCCUGCAAUGUGCAAAAGUUGUAUUGAAGGGCAUGGCACCUGAGCUUUAUGGGAUGCACGCCAAUCCCAACUGCAUAAACCAAUAUGGAUACUUCGCGCUCCAUGAAGCUGCUGAAAGGUUCUCUGUUGACAUGAUUGAGCUGCUUUUAAGCCAUGGUGCAUCAGCCAAUGUGCGCACAGUUGGCAAUAAUAUCAUUGAGAAUCUACUCCCGCUCCACGUCGCAGUUGAGAAUACUUGCCUGCAUAAGUAUCUGGAGGACAAUCUUUCUCGCAGCCAAAAGCCACUGGAUUAUAUCUACAAGCUUAUCCAUCUGCUGUGUCUACCUGAAAUGAAGAUCUUCUUGGAUACAACUAGACUGCUUGCAGAAAAAACAAAUAAUUUACUUCAAGAGCUCUGGAACUACAUUGAGGAUGGAAAACUUAUCCAGUCUACAGUUCUACUACUGGCUGCUCAAGGGCAGAUCCGUCGGGGCAGUUCUCCGAAGAUAAAUGACAGUAGUAAAAAUGGGUUUGACAUUAUCAAUAACUGUAUAGUGAGGCUUUCAUAUGCCUUGAGAUUGGAGAAAGGUUCACAUGGAAUGACACAUGAGCUUCUGGAGGAAAGGAAGACACUUUUUGAUUAUGCAUGGCUGCUUGUUGAUGUAAUUUCCCAUGUCGGUGAAGAUCUUUCUGCAUACAUUCAAGCGCAUUCUGAGGUGCCCCAUGUGGAGGUCUUUCAACAUGUUUCAUCUAUCCUUAAGGAGUAUGGAUUUUGCCCUCCUGGAGAUUUCAUGGACACUCUAAACCUCCAGCCUUAUGACUGCAGAAAGUCAAACGGAGAGUCAUGUAAAGGGCUUGUAGAUGCAAACAUGGCAGUUACGGAAAUGGCCAAUCUGGAUGCUGCAGAGGAAAAGGCUGUGAGAAAGGAAGUAGGCGGAGGAUGGGAUCCCACGUAUACGAAGAGAAGUUAUUUCCCAUAUUGGAGAUCAGUGUUAGAAGCCCGGUUUCCUGUGAGGGUAUAUCCAGCCUAUGCAAGCUCAGAUCCUAGGUCUGGUCUUAAACCUGGACAACUACGUGUUUCUCUGAGUAAGAACUUAAUAAUGGCCAAUGGAUCUACUCCAACUCAAAAUUAUAGACCUGCUCCAGUGCCAAGAAUCUCGCCACUUACAAGCAAUAAUCAACCCAGAAGGUGCUUUAUCACUGCUGCUACUGGUGCGUUCAGGCUCUUGAAGGUGCUAAAGUAG